GAUGAACGCUGGCGGCGUGCCUAAUACAUGCAAGUCGAGCGAACAGAUGAGGAGCUUGCUCCUCUGACGUUAGCGGCGGACGGGUGAGUAACACGUGGAUAACCUACCUAUAAGACUGGGAUAACUUCGGGAAACCGGAGCUAAUACCGGAUAAUAUAUUGAACCGCAUGGUUCAAUAGUGAAAGACGGUUUUGCUGUCACUUAUAGAUGGAUCCGCGCCGCAUUAGCUAGUUGGUAAGGUAACGGCUUACCAAGGCAACGAUGCGUAGCCGACCUGAGAGGGUGAACGGCCACACUGGAACUGAGACACGGUCCAGACUCCUACGGGAGGCAGCAGUAGGGAAUCUUCCGCGAUGGGCGAAAGCCUGACGGAGCAACGCCGCGGGAGUGAUGAAGGUCUUCGGAUCGUAAAACUCUGUUAUUAGGGAAGAACAAAUGUGUAAGUAACUAUGCACGUCUUGACGGUACCUAAUCAGAAAGCCACGGCUAACUACGUG
rnacentral:rRNA from 1 species